AAUAAGGAGGAUUCCAGCGUUAUCCCCAAUCAUGGUUUAAAAGGUACAUUCGCGGUCUUAUAAUUCAUGUUGAAAUCCGGCAGAUCAACUGUCGAAUUGCUCAGUGAUACUGUUAAGACAGGGAUGCUGUGAAAGUAAUAGAAUAAGUAGUGUAGCGGUGAAAUGCUAGAUAUUACAUGGAAUACCAAUUGCGAAAGGCAGGUUACUAACAUUAUAUUGACGCUGAUGGACGAAAGCGUGGGUAGCGAACAGGAUUAGAUACCCUGGUAGUCCACGCCGUAAACGAUGGAUACUAGCUGUUCGGAUGCAAAUCUGAGUGGCUAAGCGAAAGUGAUAAGUAUCCCACCUGGGGAGUACGAACGCAAGUUUGAAACUCAAAGGAAUUGACGGGGGCCCGCACAAGCGGUGGAGCAUGUGGUUUAAUUCGAUGAUACGCGAGGAACCUUACCAGGGCUUAAAUGUAGAGUGACAGGACUGGAAACAGUUUUUUCUUCGGACACUUUACAAGGUGCUGCAUGGUUGUCGUCAGCUCGUGCCGUGAGGUGUCAGGUUAAGUCCUAUAACGAGCGCAACCCCUGUUGUUAGUUGCCAGCGAGUAAUGUCGGGAACUCUAACAAGACUGCCGGUGCAAACCGUGAGGAAGGUGGGGAUGACGUCAAGUCCUCAUGGCCCUUACGGGCUGGGCUACACACGUGCUACAAUGGCGGUGACAGUGGGAUGCAAACUCGCGAGGGUGAGCAAAUCUCCAAAAGCCGUCUCAGUUCGGAUUGCACUCUGCAACUCGAGUGCAUGAAGUUGGAAUCGCUAGUAAUCGUGGAUCAGCAUGCCACGGUGAAUACGUUCCCGGGCCUUGUACACACCGCCCGUCACACCAUGGGAGUUGGCUUUACCCGAAGGCGCUGCGCUAACCCGCAAGGGAGGCAGGCGACCACGGUAGUCAGCACUAC
rnacentral:rRNA from 1 species